rnacentral:rRNA from 1 species
UACGUAGGGGGCGAGCGUUGUCCGGAAUCAUUGGGCGUAAAGAGCGUGUAGGCGGUCCGGUAAGUCCGCUGUGAAAGUCGGGGGCUCAACCCUCGAAUGCCGGUGGAUACUGUCGGGCUAGAGUGCGGAAGAGGCGAGUGGAAUUCCUGGUGUAGCGGUGAAAUGCGCAGAUAUCAGGAGGAACACCUAUUGCGAAGGCAGCUCGCUGGGGCGUAACUGACGCUGAGACGCGAAAGCGUGGGGAGCAAACAGG